GGGAAGUAAAAGUCGUAACAAGGUUUCCGUAGGUGAACCUGCGGAAGGAUCAUUACCUAGAGUUUGUGGGCUUUGCCCACUGUCUCUUACCCAUGUCUUUUGAGUACUUACGUUUCCUCGGUGGGCUCGCCCGCCGGUUGGACAAUUUAAACCAUUUGCAGUUGCAAUCAGCGUCUGAAAAACAUAAUAGUUACAACUUUCAACAACGGAUCUCUUGGUUCUGGCAUCGAUGAAGAACGCAGCGAAAUGCGAUAAGUAGUGUGAAUUGCAGAAUUCAGUGAAUCAUCGAAUCUUUGAACGCACAUUGCGCCCCUUGGUAUUCCAUGGGGCAUGCCUGUUCGAGCGUCAUUUGUACCUUCAAGCUCUGCUUGGUGUUGGGUGUUUGUCUCGCCUUGCGCGUAGACUCGCCUUAAAACAAUUGGCAGCCGGCGUAUUGAUUUCGGAGCGCAGUACAUCUCGCGCUUUGCACUCAUAACGACGACGUCCAAAAGUACUUUUUACACUCUUGACCUCGGAUCAGGUAGGGAUACCCGCUGAACUUAAGCAUAUCAAUAAGCGGAGGA
rnacentral:rRNA from 1 species